rnacentral:rRNA from 1 species
UACGUAGGGGGGCAAGCGUUGUCCGGAAUUAUUGGGCGUAAAGAGCGCGUAGGCGGUCCGGUAAGUCGGUUGUGAAAGUCGGGGGCUCAACCUCGCGGAAGCUGGUAAUACUAUUUUGCUUGAGUGCAGGAGAGGUUAACGGAACUCCAUGUGGAGCGGUAAAAUGCGUAGAUAUAUGGAAGAACAUCAAUAACGGCGAAGGCAGUUAACUAUUCUGCUACUGACAUUGAGGCACGAAAGCGUGGGGAGCAAAACGG